GUAGGUGGCAAGCGUUGUCCGGGAAUUAUUGGGGCGUAAAGCGCGCGCAGGCGGUUCUUUAAGUCUGAUGUGAAAGCCCACGGGCUCAACCGUGGAGGGUCAUUGGAAACUGGAGAACUUGAGUACAGAAGAGGAAAGCGGAAUUCCACGUGUAGCGGUGAAAUGCGUAGAGAUGUGGAGGAACGCCAGUGGCGAAGGCGGCUUUCUGGUCUGUAACUGACGCUGAGGCGCGAAAGCGUGGGGAGCAAACAGGAUUAGAUACCCUGGUAGUCCACGCCGUGAACGAUGAGUGCUAAGUGUUAGGGGGUUUCCGCCCCUUAGUGCUGCAGCUAACGCAUUAAGCGCUCCGCCUGGGGAGUACGGCCGCAAAGGCUG
rnacentral:rRNA from 1 species